UACAGAGGGGGCAAGCGUUAUUCGGAAUUAUUGGGCGUAAAGGGCGCGUAGGCGGCCUUGCAAGUGGCGGGUGAAAUCCCUCGGCUUAACCGAGGAACUGCCUGCCAGACUGCAAGGCUCGAGACCGGGAGAGGUGAGUGGAAUUCCCAGUGUAGCGGUGAAAUGCGUAGAUAUUGGGAGGAACACCAGUGGCGAAGGCGGCUCACUGGACCGAAACUGACGCUGAGGCGCGAAAGCCAGGGGAGCAAACGGG
rnacentral:rRNA from 1 species